UACGAGGGAUCCUAGCGUUGUUCGGAAUCAUUGGGCGUAAAGCGAGUGUAGGCGGCCAGAAAAGUCAGUUGUGAAAGCCCCGGGCUCAACCCGGGAAGUGCUUCUGAUACUGUUUGGCUUGAGUACUAGAGAGGAUAGUAGAAUUCCAGGUGUAGUGGUGAAAUACGUAGAUAUCUGGAGGAAUACCGGUGGCGAAGGCGGCUAUCUGGCUAUGUACUGACGCUGAGACUCGAAAGCAUGGGGAGCAAACAGG
rnacentral:rRNA from 1 species